UUAAGUUAUUAAGGGCGCACGGUGGAUGCCUUGGCACUAGAAGCCGAUGAAGGACGUUACUAACGACGAUAUGCUUUGGGGAGCUGUAAGUAAGCUUUGAUCCAGAGAUUUCCGAAUGGGGAAACCCAGCAUGAGUUAUGUCAUGUUAUCGAUAUGUGAAUACAUAGCAUAUCAGAAGGCACACCCGGAGAACUGAAACAUCUUAGUACCCGGAGGAAGAGAAAGAAAAUUCGAUUCCCUUAGUAGCGGCGAGCGAAACGGGAAGAGCCCAAACCAAAAAGCUUGCUUGUUGGGGUUGUAGGACACUCUAUACGGAGUUACAAAGGACGACAUUAGACGAAUCAUCUGGAAAGAUGAAUCAAAGAAGGUAAUAAUCCUGUAGUCGAAAAUGUUGUCUCUCUUGAGUGGAUCCUGAGUAAGACGGAGCACGUGAAAUUCCGUCGGAAUCUGGGAGGACCAUCUCCUAAGGCUAAAUACUCUCUAGUGACCGAUAGUGAACCAGUACCGUGAGGGAAAGGUGAAAAGCACCCCGGAAGGAGAGUGAAAUAGAACCUGAAACCGUGUGCUUACAAGUAGUCAGAGCCCGUUAAUGGGUGAUGGCGUGCCUUUUGUAGAAUGAACCGGCGAGUUACGAUUUGAUGCAAGGUUAAGCAGUAAAUGUGGAGCCGUAGCGAAAGCGAGUCUGAAUAGGGCGUUUAGUAUUUGGUCGUAGACCCGAAACCAGGUGAUCUACCCUUGGUCAGGUUGAAGUUCAGGUAACACUGAAUGGAGGACCGAACCGACUUACGUUGAAAAGUGAGCGGAUGAACUGAGGGUAGCGGAGAAAUUCCAAUCGAACCUGGAGAUAGCUGGUUCUCUCCGAAAUAGCUUUAGGGCUAGCCUCAAGUGAUGAUUAUUGGAGGUAGAGCACUGUUUGGACGAGGGGCCCCUCUCGGGUUACCGAAUUCAGACAAACUCCGAAUGCCAAUUAAUUUAACUUGGGAGUCAGAACAUGGGUGAUAAGGUCCGUGUUCGAAAGGGAAACAGCCCAGACCACCAGCUAAGGUCCCAAAAUAUAUGUUAAGUGGAAAAGGAUGUGGCGUUGCCCAGACAACUAGGAUGUUGGCUUAGAAGCAGCCAUCAUUUAAAGAGUGCGUAAUAGCUCACUAGUCGAGUGACACUGCGCCGAAAAUGUACCGGGGCUAAACAUAUUACCGAAGCUGUGGAUUGUCCUUUGGACAAUGGUAGGAGAGCGUUCUAAGGGCGUUGAAGCAUGAUCGUAAGGACAUGUGGAGCGCUUAGAAGUGAGAAUGCCGGUGUGAGUAGCGAAAGACGGGUGAGAAUCCCGUCCACCGAUUGACUAAGGUUUCCAGAGGAAGGCUCGUCCGCUCUGGGUUAGUCGGGUCCUAAGCUGAGGCCGACAGGCGUAGGCGAUGGAUAACAGGUUGAUAUUCCUGUACCACCUAUAAUCGUUUUAAUCGAUGGGGGGACGCAGUAGGAUAGGCGAAGCGUGCGAUUGGAUUGCACGUCUAAGCAGUAAGGCUGAGUAUUAGGCAAAUCCGGUACUCGUUAAGGCUGAGCUGUGAUGGGGAGAAGACAUUGAGUCUUCGAGUCGUUGAUUUCACACUGCCGAGAAAAGCCUCUAGAUAGAAAAUAGGUGCCCGUACCGCAAACCGACACAGGUAGUCAAGAUGAGAAUUCUAAGGUGAGCGAGCGAACUCUCGUUAAGGAACUCGGCAAAAUGACCCCGUAACUUCGGGAGAAGGGGUGCUCUUUAGGGUUAACGCCCAGAAGAGCCGCAGUGAAUAGGCCCAAGCGACUGUUUAUCAAAAACACAGGUCUCUGCUAAACCGUAAGGUGAUGUAUAGGGGCUGACGCCUGCCCGGUGCUGGAAGGUUAAGAGGAGUGGUUAGCUUCUGCGAAGCUACGAAUCGAAGCCCCAGUAAACGGCGGCCGUAACUAUAACGGUCCUAAGGUAGCGAAAUUCCUUGUCGGGUAAGUUCCGACCCGCACGAAAGGCGUAACGAUUUGGGCACUGUCUCAACGAGAGACUCGGUGAAAUCAUAGUACCUGUGAAGAUGCAGGUUACCCGCGACAGGACGGAAAGACCCCGUGGAGCUUUACUGUAGCCUGAUAUUGAAAUUCGGCACAGCUUGUACAGGAUAGGUAGGAGCCUUUGAAACGUGAGCGCUAGCUUACGUGGAGGCGCUGGUGGGAUACUACCCUAGCUGUGUUGGCUUUCUAACCCGCACCACUUAUCGUGGUGGGAGACAGUGUCAGGCGGGCAGUUUGACUGGGGCGGUCGCCUCCUAAAAGGUAACGGAGGCGCUCAAAGGUUCCCUCAGAAUGGUUGGAAAUCAUUCAUAGAGUGUAAAGGCAUAAGGGAGCUUGACUGCGAGACCUACAAGUCGAGCAGGGUCGAAAGACGGACUUAGUGAUCCGGUGGUUCCGCAUGGAAGGGCCAUCGCUCAACGGAUAAAAGCUACCCCGGGGAUAACAGGCUUAUCUCCCCCAAGAGUUCACAUCGACGGGGAGGUUUGGCACCUCGAUGUCGGCUCAUCGCAUCCUGGGGCUGUAGUCGGUCCCAAGGGUUGGGCUGUUCGCCCAUUAAAGCGGUACGCGAGCUGGGUUCAGAACGUCGUGAGACAGUUCGGUCCCUAUCCGUCGUGGGCGUAGGAAAUUUGAGAGGAGCUGUCCUUAGUACGAGAGGACCGGGAUGGACAUACCUCUGGUGUACCAGUUGUCGUGCCAACGGCAUAGCUGGGUAGCUAUGUGUGGACGGGAUAAGUGCUGAAAGCAUCUAAGCAUGAAGCCCCCCUCAAGAUGAGAUUUCCCAACUUCGGUUAUAAGAUCCCUCAAAGAUGAUGAGGUUAAUAGGUUCGAGGUGGAAGCAUGGUGACAUGUGGAGCUGACGAAUACUAAUCGAUCGAAGACUUAAUCAA
rnacentral:rRNA from 10 species